rnacentral:lncRNA from 1 species
UAUCACAUACAAUCUUAACAGCCAGUCUCCAGGAGUGCGGCAGCAGAUUUGUUCUCUUCUUAAAAAGUUGUUUUGUAGGAUACAGGAAAGUUCCCAAGUACUUUACAAAUUGCAGCAAAGUAAAUCCAAACAUGAACCAGAGAAUGAGUUAGCCAAAGAAGAGCCUUCUGUUUCCUU